UGAGAUAUAGCUCAGUAGUAGAACACUUGCCUAGCAUUGGGCAAGCCCUGAGUUCAAUUCCCAGUAUUUUAC
rnacentral:tRNA from 1 species